rnacentral:rRNA from 1 species
UACGGGAGGGGGCUAGCGUUGUUCGGAAUUACUGGGCGUAAAGCGCACGUUAGGCGGCUUUGUAAGUUCGAUGUGAAAGCCCCGGGCUCAACCUGGGAACUGCAUUGGAAACUGGCGAGCUUGAAUGCGGCAGAGGGGGUGGAAUUCCGCGUGUAGCAGUGAAAUGCGUAGAUAUCAGGAGGAAUACCGAUGGCGAAGGCAGGUCUCUGGGCUGACACUGACGCUCAUGCACGAAAGCGUGGGGGAGCAAACAGG